rnacentral:siRNA from 1 species
UAAUUUAGUUUCUGUCCAAUUAU